GGACGAACGCUGGCGGCGUGCUUAACACAUGCAAGUCGAACGCUGAAGGCCCAGCUUGCUGGGUUGGAUGAGUGGCGAACGGGUGAGUAACACGUGAGUAACCUGCCCYCUUCUUUGGGAUAACGGUCGGAAACGGCUGCUAAUACCGGGUAUUCACUGUCCUUCGCAUGGGGGGUGGUGGAAAGGUUUUUUCUGGUGGGGGAUGGGCUCGCGGCCUAUCAGCUUGUUGGUGGGGUGAUGGCUUACCAAGGCUUUGACGGGUAACCGGCCUGAGAGGGUGACCGGUCACAUUGGGACUGAGAUACGGCCCAGACUCCUACGGGAGGCAGCAGUGGGGAAUAUUGCACAAUGGGCGAAAGCCUGAUGCAGCGACGCCGCGUGAGGGAUGGAGGCCUUCGGGUUGUAAACCUCUUUCGCUCAUGGUCAAGCCGCAACAAUGGUUGUGGUGAGGGUAGUGGGUAAAGAAGCACCGGCUAACUACGU
rnacentral:rRNA from 1 species